GUUCCUCAAUAGGGCUACGCUUAAACAUGAAUCUUAAGUUUUAUAGAAAUUAUUUAUUAAAAUUCUGAUUGCUUAGAGGUAACUUGAAGAUGUUAAUAAGUGUAGUAUUAUUGUUACACUUGGACUUCAAGUAGAAUCAUGUGAAGUCUAACAUUUAAUGGUAAGGUCCUGACUGGCUCCCUUGCACUUCUGAUCACCUAGGAAGAGGGAAAUCAUAUGGUAGUGAAUUAGCUCAAUAAAUCACUCUUAACUGAAUACCAUCUAUCUCCCCCCAAAUUGACUCUAAUCAAAGAGCAGAAGUCAUUUGAAAGAUGUAAAGCAGGUUUCUAAAAGCAAGAGAGGAAAUGUUUUUGGGAGCAGGAAUGUAACUCAGGAAAAUAUUAAUUUACAAUGAUUUCAAUGACAAAACACAAUGAAUAUUACACAAAAUAUUCAAACUUGUUUUUCUGAGUAAAAAUGAACACAAUAACAAUUACUUCUUGCAAAGUGAAUAACAUUUCAUCAUGAUUAAACAAUGUCUUAAUGUUAUUUCCCUGGGGGCCAAGCCAAGCUGACCAAUACCAAGAAUCUAAUACACUAAGUAAUCAUUGCUGGGGGAAAAUAUACUAUGAAAUUCUCUGGUGACCAGAGAGAGCAAAAGAGCUAAAUAUAUCAUCAGCCUUACUGCAAUAUUAGGAAAAGCCUUCAGAACACAAGGCUUCUCUAGUCUUUCUAGUAAUGAAUAAAACUACAAACACAUAAAAUACCAAUCAAUGUAAACAGUAUGUCAGAAGCUCUAACUCUGAACAAGUUUUUUAAAUCUAAACAAUUAGAAUACUCACUUUAAAUGUAAUUCUUGAUGAGAGUACACAGACACAAAUUCUAUACUUGCUCCCAGUAUCAACUGAAAUGAUGGCUAUUUACAGAAGAGACAUAUGGGUUCUUUUUUGGAUAGAGUAUUUGGGAAUUAAGAGAAUGAAUUAUUAAAACUAUGUUUUGGAAGCCAAAGCACUAUAUAGCAGACAUAAAUAGCAGAUUUUCUUAGUCACAUAUUAUUAAAUUAAUACUAAUACUACUAUCAAUAGUGAUAUGUAAUGUUAUUUCACUUGAUCUUUCCAAAAAUCCUAAAGUGAAGUUAAGCUGGUAGGCAUUUUUAUCCCCAUUAUAUAAAUGAUGAUAUAAGUACAAACAGAGAUAACCCAAAGAUAUGGUAUGGUAAGUAACACAUGACAAGAGAUUUCAAAUCUUUUAACU
rnacentral:lncRNA from 1 species